GAUGAACGCUGGCGGCGUGCCUAAUACAUGCAAGUCGAGCGAACGGACGAGAAGCUUUCUUCUCUGAUGUUAGCGGCGGACGGGUGAGUAACACGUGGAUAACCUACCUAUAAGACUGGGAUAACUUCGGGAAACCGUAGCUAAUACCGGAUAAUAUUUUGAACCGCAUGGUUCAAAAGUGAAAGACGGUCUUGCUGUCACUUAUAGAUGGAUCCGCGCUGCAUUAGCUAGUUGGUAAGGUAACGGCUUACCAAGGCAACGAUGCAUAGCCGACCUGAGAGGGUGAUCAGCCACACUGGAACUGAGACACGGUCCAGACUCCUACGGGAGGCAGCAGUAGGGAAUCUUGCGCAAUGGGCGAAAGCCUGACGGAGCAAAGCCGCGUGAGUGAUGAAGGUCUUCGGAUAGUAAAACUCUGUUAUUAGGGAAGAAGAUAAGUGUAAGUAACUGUGCACAUCUUGACGGUACCUAAUGAGAAAGCCACGGCUAACUACGUG
rnacentral:rRNA from 1 species